CACAUCGUUUCAUAAUUUUCACUACAAACAGGGUUGAAUUUUCCUUUAACUUUAGUAUCUCAAAAGACGUCGUUUGGUUAUUUUCGCUAUAAAUGUUAUGUUCGGAAAAAUCGGUUUCAUUUUUCCUUUUCCUUUCGAUGUAUUAUUCAUCAGCGGAAGGGAGACUACAGAAGUUUCUUAUAAGAAAUAAGGAAAGAAAAGAACAAAAAAAAAAUCAUAUUCCAGAAGAUUACAAAUAACCAACGAUAUAGAAUAGAGUCUUCCUACAUGAGCCAUUGGGAUCUCAUCUUGCAAUCGAUGCACAUAAUCAACUAGAUGCAGCCGAGGAAAAUCAAUCAAUCAGCCCAUUCACAUUCCGUUGAAUAAUAAAUCUUACGCUAAUUGAAAUUUUCAUGCCUGACAGUAGGAGAAUCAAGCCAGCGAAGAUCAGAAAGAAAGAAGGAGAAUGAAGCUAAAGAAGAUCAAAAAGAAGAGAAAUACUACAUGCCAGAAAAUCUAAUUCACAAAACUUUGUCCCAAGUACGGUAAUGAACUCUUCAGUUAUUAAUCAGAUUAUAUAUAUAUAUAUUACCAAACUAUUGAAUUUAAGUAAUGUUUAAUGGCUAAAUUUCUACUUAUGAAAUCUUUUGUGUUAUCGAUACGGCUAACUUUCAACUUAUGCAAUCUGUUGUGUCAUCAGAAUAUAACAAAAUCCACAUAUCGACACAUCUUGCAGUUCUGAGUUCUCAUAAUCUUAAAUUGUGUUUAUACUGUAACAAAAUCCACAUAUCAAAGAUGUUAGUAGAAUUGCAUCUUUCUAUAUAUCUUUGAGUUUGACUUUAGUAUGUGGGAAUUUGACAUUAUUGAAGACAGAAUACGAUCAUAUUUUUUCGCACUUUUGUGAUUUAGGCUUACAAAUCGUGAUGUAAGAAAAGAUAUGAUUUAUUGAGUUUAUUUCUUCUAUCUAUACAUGUCAUGGAUAUCUGUGUUGUUCCUAGGGUUUGUGAAAAACUCGCAGGAGAAGAAAACUUAUAAUUUGAGAAAAGUCCGUGGUUGGGUUUUCCAUCUAUGCAGAGACCGAAAACAACAUGGGAUGGCGAACUACAAGGCAUGGUUUGUUAUUGGAAUCCAUGUUUAUCUAUAUAUGGCGAGGCUUUCAAACUAUGAGGAUGGUAUUGGUUAUGUCGAAAUUAUGAACCUUGACAGAGAAACCAAUUUGAAACUUAAAGGUCUCCCUUGCGGUCACACUUGGUUGGAAUGAAAACAUUGAAUUCAUCAAGUCCGAAGGUGCAAUAAACUGUGAAGACCCAAAACCAGCAGAUCUAUAUGCUUAAUUUUGCGGCCUUGGUAAUUUUCUUUGUUGAAGGAAACUAUAUAUUUCUUCUUUUGAUUUGUAUUUUUAUUUCCCCUGUGUACACUAUGUGCGGAAACGUAUACUAUAUGUCCCUUGUGUAUAUCAAUGACUAGAUUUCUCAAGAAAGAUUGAUGAGUACAAAAGAACGUUCAUCAAGCAAGCAUGUACAGGCGUGAUUCAACUUUAGGAGUUGGAUGACAUCUAUUUGCAUUUAUAAGAAACGAUAUAUCCAGAAUUUCCUUGAGAUAUAUCGAGAAUCUCCUUAAGGUCAAUAUGUAAACCUAUAUGGACUAGAAAAAAGGGUUCCCAAAAAGAACCUUAAACGUAAGGACAUGGUGGCACCGUGUUUGGCGUUUGAUAGGGUUGUUACAGUAUCGGUUUGUAUGGGAGGAAGAGGCACCAAUGAUGUAUAUUAAUGAAGUGCAGCUUGAACAACGUGCGCAGGGGAAGGGAUUAGUGAAAUUCGUAAUGCAGUUGGUUAAAUGCAUUGUGUACGAGAAUAUGUUUUGAGUGUUGUUAUGUUAACUAUAGACAAAGAGAAUGUGUUUGAUAUAUAUUUUUAGAUGAGUAA